GGCCUUCUGUAUCUGUACUGAGAAUUCGUCACGCCAGACCACAAAGGUUGAUGAGACUCCUAAGAUAAGUGGUCG
rnacentral:pre_miRNA from 1 species